rnacentral:rRNA from 1 species
AAUCAACGCUGGCGGCGUGCCUCAGACAUGCAAGUCGAACGCGAAAGUUCCCUUCGGGGGAUGAGUAGAGUGGCGCACGGGUGAGUAACACGUAGGUAAUCUACCUUUGGAUGGGGAAUAACAACCGGAAACGGUUGCUAAUACCGCAUAAUGCAGCGGCACCUAAUGGUGACAGUUGUUAAAGCGGGGGAUCGAAAGACCUCGCGUCUGAAGAGGAGCCUGCGGCGGAUUAGCAGUUGGUAAGGUAACGGCUUACCAAGGCGACGAUCCGUAGCCGGCCUGAGAGGGCGGUCGGCCACACUGACACUGACAUACGGGUCAGACUCCUACGGGAGGCAGCAGUCGGGAAUUUUGGGCAAUGGGCGAAAGCCUGACCCAGCAACGCCGCGUGAAGGAU